GUGGAUUAGAUACCCUGGUAGUCCACGCCGUAAACGAUGUCUACUAGCCGUUGGGAGCCUUGAGCUCUUAGUGGCGCAGCUAACGCACUAAGUAGACCGCCUGGGGAGUACGGUCGCAAGAUUAAAACUCAAAUGAAUUGACGGGGGCCCGCACAAGCGGUGGAGCAUGUGGUUUAAUUCGACGCAACGCGAAGAACCUUACCAGGUCUUGACAUCCUAGAAACUUUCCAGAGAUGGAUUGGUGCCUUCGGGAAUCUAGAGACAGGUGCUGCAUGGUUGUCGACCACU
rnacentral:rRNA from 1 species